rnacentral:rRNA from 1 species
GACGAACGCUGGCGGCGUGCUUAACACAUGCAAGUCGAACGAAGAGCGAUGGAGGCUUGCUUCUUUCAAUCUUAGUGGCGAACGGGUGUGUAACGCGUAUUCCACCUCUCCUUCAGUGGGGUACAACAGUUGGAAACGACUUCUAAUACCGCAUACUUUCUAAUCUCGUCAUCCAGGAUAGAUAGAAGGUGGUCUCUACACUUAUGCUAUCACUGAAGGUGGGUAUUGCGUCUGAUUAGGUAGCUGGUGGGGUAACGGGCCAACAAUGCGAUGAACAGUAGCCGGUCUGAGAGGAUGGACGGCCAAAAUGGGACUGAGACACGGCCCAGAAUUCUAAGGGAGGCAGCAGGGGGGAAUCUUCCGCAAUGGAGGGAAGUCUGAAGGAGCAACGGCGGGGGGAGGAUGAAAGCCCUCGGGUUGUAAAGCUCUGUUAAUCGGGAAGAAAGGCCUUCUUGAGAAUAGGGGGAAGGAUUGACGGUACCGGAACAGAAAGCCACGGCUAACUACGUG